UACGGAGGGUGCAAGCGUUAUCCGGAUUCACUGGGUUUAAAGGGUGCGUAGGUGGGCAGGUAAGUCAGUGGUGAAAUCUCCGGGCUCAACCCGGAAACUGCCAUUGAUACUAUCAGUCUUGAAUAUCGUGGAGGUAAGCGGAAUAUGUCAUGUAGCGGUGAAAUGCUUAGAUAUGACAUAGAACACCAAUUGCGAAGGCAGCUUACUACCCGAAUAUUGACACUGAGGCACGAAAAGCGUGGGGAUCAAACAGG
rnacentral:rRNA from 1 species